rnacentral:tRNA from 3 species
GCCUGGAUAGCUCAGAUGGUAGAGCAGAGGACUGAAAAUCCUCGUGUCACUGGUUCGAUUCCUGUUCCAGGCA